GAUGAAGAACGUAGCGAAAUGCGAUAAGUAAUGUGAAUUGCAGAAUUCAGUGAAUCAUCGAAUCUUUGAACGCACAUUGCGCCCGCCAGCAUUCUGGCGGGCAUGCCUGUUCGAGCGUCAUUUCAACCCUCGAGCCCCCCCGGGGGCCUCGGUGUUGGGGGACGGCACACCAGCCGCCCCCGAAAUGCAGUGGCGACCCCGCCGCAGCCUCCCCUGCGUAGUAGCACACACCUCGCACCGGAGCGCGGAGGCGGUCACGCCGUAAAACGCCCAACUUUCUUAGAGUUGACCUCGGAUCAGGUAGAAAUACCCGCUGAACUUAAGCAUAUCAAUAAGCGGAGGA
rnacentral:misc_RNA from 1 species